rnacentral:rRNA from 1 species
CCUACGGGAGGCAGCAGGGGGGGAUAUUGGACAAUGGGGGCAACCCUGAUCCAGCAAUGCCGCGUGUGUGAUGAAGGCCCUAGGGUUGUAAAGCACUUUCACUGGUGAAGAUGAUGACGGUAGCCAGAGAGGAAGCCCCGGCUAACUUCGUGCCAGCAGCCGCGGUAAUACGAAGGGGGCGAGCGUUGUUCGGAAUUACUGGGCGUAAAGGGCGCGUAGGCGGUCUUUUAAGUUAGGCGUGAAAGCCCCGGGCUCAACCUGGGAACUGCGCUUAAUACUGAAAGACUAGAAAACGGAAGAGGGUAGUGGAAUUCCCAGUGUAGAGGUGAAAUUCGUAGAUAUUGGGAAGAACACCAGUGGCGAAAGCGGCUACCUGGCCCGAUUUUGUCGCUGAGGCGCGAAAGCGUGGGGAGCAAACAGGAUUAGAUACCCUGGUAG